GACGAACGCUGGCGGCGUGCUUAACACAUGCAAGUCGAACGGAAAGGCCUUUUCGGAGGUACUCGAGUGGCGAACGGGUGAGUAACACGUGGGUGAUCUGCCCUGCACUCUGGGAUAAGCCUGGGAAACUGGGUCUAAUACCGGAUAGGACCGCACUUUAGUGUGUGUGGUGGCAAGUUUUUUCGGUGUAGGAUGAGCCCGCGGCCUAUCAGCUUGUUGGUGGGGUAAUGGCCUACCAAGGCGGCGACGGGUAGCCGGACUGAGAGGUUGGUCGGCCACAUUGGGACUGAGAUACGGCCCAGACUCCUACGGGAGGCAGCAGUGGGGAAUAUUGCACAAUGGGCGCAAGCCUGAUGCAGCGACGCCGCGUGGGGGAUGACGGCCUUCGGGUUGGAAACUCCUUUCGCCAGGGACGAAGCGUUUUGUGACGGUACCUGGAGAAGAAGCACCGGCUAACUACGUG
rnacentral:rRNA from 1 species